rnacentral:rRNA from 1 species
GACGAACGCUGGCGGCGUGCUUAACACAUGCAAGUCGAACGGAAAGGCCCUGCUUUUGUUGGGUGCUUGAUUGGCGAACGGGUGAGUAACACGUGAGUAACCUCUCCUUGACUUUGUGAUAUCUUCAGGAAACUGGGGCUCAUAUCGGAUAGGAUCUUCUGCUGCAUGUUGGGGGUUGGAAAGUUUCGGCGGUUGGGGAUGUUCUCGCGGCUUAUCAGCUUGUUGGUGGGGUAGUGGCUUACCAAGGCUUUGACGGGUAGCCGGCCUGAGAGGGGUAACGGCCACAUGGGGACUGAGGUACGGCCCAGACGCCAACGGGAGGCAGCAGGGGGGAAUAUUGCACAAUGGGCGGGAGCCUGAUGCAGCAACGCUGCGUGCGGGAUAACGGGUUUCGGGUUGUAAACCGAUUUCGCCUGUAACGAAGCGUGAGUGACGGUAAUUGAUAAAGAAGCAACGGCUAACUACGUG